GGAGAUUCUGAGACUCGGCUGAGCACUGCAACCACGCAAGGCCCGGAUGUCACCGGUCUGGGAUCCUUCUCAGAGUCUCCCAGACCACCGUCCAAGAGCUGGGACUUCACUCAGUACCUGCGUAUUAUCUGCCUAGGGUACAGGAGAUGGGCACCUCCCAACCAGAGCUGGUACCAUGUUUUCUUCCCACCUCCCCACCCAGUGCUGAGGCUUGAACUCAGGACUCUCCAGCAUGCUAGGCAACCGCUCUACUUGGAGAUACACCCCCAGCGCUGAUGAACUAUCUUCACAAUAAAACGGAAU